rfam:Candidatus Methanosphaerula palustris E1-9c, complete genome.
AGCACUGUGUGAACGGUGUAAUCAUACGUAAGUCCGACGUGCCGGAUUGCAGUUUUUCUGCAGAUUCCUGAACAAUCAGGGGAUGGCACUGCCCAGAGAUCUGGGCUCAGGGAUUAC